CAGGUCUUCGGAUGCUGACGAGUGGCGAACGGGUGAGUAAUGUAUCGGAACGUGCCCAGUCGUGGGGGAUAACUACUCGAAAGAGUGGCUAAUACCGCAUACGACCUGAGGGUGAAAGCGGGGGAUCGCAAGACCUCGCGCGAUUGGAGCGGCCGAUAUCAGAUUAGGUAGUUGGUGGGGUAAAGGCUCACCAAGCCAACGAUCUGUAGCUGGUCUGAGAGGACGACCAGCCACACUGGGACUGAGACACGGCCCAGACUCCUACGGGAGGCAGCAGUGGGGAAUUUUGGACAAUGGACGCAAGUCUGAUCCAGCCAUGCCGCGUGCGGGAAGAAGGCCUUCGGGUUGUAAACCGCUUUUGUCAGGGAAGAAACGAGCGUCUCUAAUACAGAUGCUUAAUGACGGUACCUGAAGAAUAAGCACCGGCUAACUACGUGCCAGCAGCCGCGGUAAUACGUAGGGUGCAAGCGUUAAUCGGAAUUACUGGGCGUAAAGCGUGCGCAGGCGGUUAUGCAAGACAGAGGUGAAAUCCCCGGGCUCAACCUGGGAACUGCCUUUGUGACUGCAUAGCUAGAGUACGGUAGAGGGGGAUGGAAUUCCGCGUGUAGCAGUGAAAUGCGUAGAUAUGCGGAGGAACACCGAUGGCGAAGGCAAUCCCCUGGACCUGUACUGACGCUCAUGCACGAAAGCGUG
rnacentral:rRNA from 1 species